UGGGGUCUUUUUUUUUUUGUUUUCUCAUCAAUUUCAGGUCAGAUUCUCUGCUUAAAUGUCAAAUUCUGCAAUUUCAGAGGUCACGUGACCUCCAAAAUAUGGAAAUUUGGCUAUUUUGGGGCUCACGUGACAGCAGAGGCAUCCAAUAGGAAAACAUGAGAUUUUGGGGGGGAAAAGAGGGGAGAUUUGGGUCAGGCGGCCUCAAUUUCUUCCCCUUGGUUUUUUCUGGGUCCUUUGGGGAUCAAAACAACCCCUAAAAAACCCAUUUUUGGGGUCUUUUUUUGUUGUUCUCAGCAAUUUCAGGUCGGAUUCUCUGCUUAAAUGUCAAAUUCUACAAUUUCAGAGGUCACGUGACCACCAAAAUUUGCAAAUUUGGCUAUUUUGGGGCUCACGUGACAGCAGAGGCAUCCAAUAGGAAAAUAGGACAUUUUGGGGGGGGAAAAGAGGGGAGAUUUGGGUCAGGCGACCUCAAUUUCUUCCCCUUGGUUUUUCUGGGUCCUUUGGGGAUCAAAACAACCCCCAAAAAAACCAUUUUUGGGGUCUUUUUUUGUUGUUCUCAGCAAUUUCAGGUCGGAUUCUCUGCUUAAAUGUCAAAUUUUGCAAUUUCAGAGGUCACGUGACCUCCAAAAUAUGGAAAUUUGGCUAUUUCGGCGCUCACGUGACAGCAGAGGCAUCCAAUAGGAAAACAGGAGAUUUUGGGGGGGAAAAAGAGGGCAGAUUUGGGUCAGGCGACCUCAAUUUCUUCCCCUUGGUUUUUGUGGCUCCUUUGUGGAUCAAAACAACCCCUAAAAAACCCAUUUUUGGGGUCUUUUUUUAUUGUUCUCAGCAAUUUCAGGUCAGAUUCUCUGCUUAAAUGUCAAAUUUUGCAAUUUCAGAGGUCACGUGACCUCCAAAAUUUGCAUAUUUGGCUAUUUUGGCGCUCACGUGAUAGGAGAGACAGGGCCGUAAUGGAGGCAUCCAAUAGGAAAAUAGGAGAUUUUGAGGGGGAAAAGAGGGGAGAUUUGGGUCAGGCGACCUCGAUUUCUUCCCCUUGGUUUUUCUGGGUCCUUUGGGGAUCAAAACAACCCCUAAAAAACCCAUUUUUGGGGUCUUUUUUUUUGUUUUCUCAGCAAUUUCAGGUCGGAUUCUCUGCUUAAAUGUCAAAUUUUGCAAUUUCGGAGGUCACGUGACCGCCAAAAUAUGGAAAUUUGGCUAUUUUGGGGCUCACGUGACAGCAGAGGCAUCCAAUAGGAAAACAGGAGAUUUUGGGGGGGAAAAGAGGGGAGAUUUGGGUCAGGCGGCCUCAAUUUCUUCCCCUUGGUUUUUGUGGCUCCUUUGGGGAUCAAAACAACCCCUAAAAAACCCAUUUUUGGGGUCUUUUUUUUGUUGUUCUCAUCAAUUUCAGGUCGGAUUCUCUGCUUAAAUGUCAAAUUCUACAAUUUCAGAGGUCACGUGACCGCCAAAAUUUGGAUGGGUUUUGAUAUUUCGGCGCUCACGUGACCUCCAGCCAUAACGGGGCCCCAUCGGAGCCUGCGGAAGCUCAACCUGGUUACCUCCAUAGGCAGCAAUUAAUAAAUGCUGAUUGUUGUGCGUAAUUAACGAGGAGAAGUGCGCGGGGUCGUCUUGCUUCCGUCCCCAUCAUGGCGUCGUUACAGAGCUGGGUAAACUGGGGCUUCCACUUCCAUCCUUACGGGGUUGGGGACGAGGCUGGAA